rnacentral:rRNA from 1 species
CUACGGGGUGCAGCAGUGGGGAAUCUUGCGCAAUGGAGGAAACUCUGACGCAGCGACGCCGCGUGGGUGAAGAAGGCCUUCGGGUUGUAAAGCCCUUUCGGACAGGAAGAAGGGAUAGGUGAAGAGCCUUAUUCUGAUGGUACUGUAAGAAGAAGCACCGGCAAACUUCGUGCCAGCAGCCGCGGUAAUACGAAGGGUGCGAGCGUUGUGCGGAAUUACUGGGCGUAAAGGGUUCGUAGGCUGGUAGAUAAGUUGGAUGUGAAACCCCUGGGCUCAACCUGGGACGUGCAUCCAAGACUGUUUAUCUUGAGUGUUGUAGAGGGUGGUGGAAUUGCUGGUGUAGGAGUGACAUCCGUAGAGAUCAGCAGGAACACCGGAGGCGAAGGCGACCACCUGGGCAACAACUGACGCUGAGGAACGAAAGCGUGGGGAGCAAACAGGAUUAGAUACCCCAGUAGUC